UGCCCCAUGGCUGAGUUGGUCACAGCGUCCGACUGUUAUCACUUCAGAUUCAUCGGAAGGUCGUGAGUUCGAGCCUCACUGGGGCAG
rnacentral:tRNA from 1 species